rnacentral:rRNA from 1 species
UACGUAGGAGACGAGCGUUGUCCGGAGUUACUGGGCGUAAAGGGUGCGCAGGUGGCGGCGCGCGUGGGGGGUGAAAUCGCCCGGCUUAACUGGGCGGGGGCCUUCCAGACGGCGUGGCUUGAGCAGCGGAGGGGGACGUGGAAUUCCGGGUGGAGCGGUGAAAUGCGUAGAGAUCGGGAGGAACAUCAGUUGCGAAGGCGGCUCUCUGGACCAGCACUGACACUGAGGCACGAAAGCGUGGGGAGCAAACAGG